rnacentral:rRNA from 1 species
GAUGAACGCUGGCGGCGUGCCUAAUACAUGCAAGUCGAGCGAACAGACGAGGAGCUUGCUCCUCUGACGUUAGCGGCGGACGGGUGAGUAACACGUGGAUAACCUACCUAUAAGACUGGGAUAACUUCGGGAAACCGGAGCUAAUACCGGAGAAUAUAUUGAACCGCAUGGUUCAAUAGUGAAAGACGGUUUUGCUGUCACUUAUAGAUGGAUCCGCGCCGCAUUAGCUAGUUGGUAAGGUAACGGCUUACCAAGGCAACGAUGCGUAGCCGACCUGAGAGGGUGAUCGGCCACACUGGAACUGAGACACGGUCCAGACUCCUACGGGAGGCAGCAGUAGGGAAUCUUCCGCAAUGGGCGAAAGCCUGACGGAGCAACGCCGCGUGAGUGAUGAAGGUCUUCGGAUCGUAAAACUCUGUUAUUAGGGAAGAACAAAUGUGUAAGUAACUAUGCACGUCUUGACGGUACCUAAUCAGAAAGCCCCGGCUAACUACGUG